rnacentral:lncRNA from 1 species
UUUGAGAUAUUACAGUAACUGAUAGGAGGAGGAUGAUGAUGUUGAUGGUGAUUAUCCUUGGGACUCCCAGGUCAUGGACGUUUCCUUUAGAACAUACCAGAAGUUCCUCGGGGCUGCGUUCUCAGGAGGAGAGGUUUCUGGAGGAGGUAGAAACCAUCGUUGCAAUGGACUCAGCUGAUCGCCUGCCUUUGUGUACCUAGAGGAAACUUGGCUGAUAAGAUGAUCUUUCUCACAGGUACGUUUCCUCUCUUCCUGAAGAAAAAUGUCUGGUAGAACAGGUUGGCCAUCUUUGCAAAUGUGCCUUGGACUAGCUGUGGGUGUCUGACAUGGAUCUUACUCAAUAAGUUGAAUCUGCGGAGCCACCGGCCUUUGAAGCAGCUCCAAGAUUAUAAUAAUGAUGACCACCCUUGGACUGGGGAGAACAGAGAGCAGGGAGGAACAAUUUACCCUGAGCGAUAAUUCUAGUGACUGCAAAAGCAAGGACUUUGGCAUCAAACAGAGUCCCGACUCUCCAGCACCUGCCAGCUGUGUGACCUUGGUGUUCGGCAACGUCGAGAACUUAAGGAGUUCGUUCUGUGAAUUGUUGGAGCAGCUCUGCGUGGAAUGGAACCCAGUGACGCCCGACGCUAUAAGAUACUGGGGGAGGAGGCACUUGUGUUUGAAGCCCAAACCUGUCUCUAUCUCAUUUAGACAUUGGGGAUUGUAUUCCCACUUUUGCUCCAUCAGUAGCACUCCAGGGAAUGAGGUGGGAGUUGGCAAGAAGGGAGAGGAGAACAACAAUAUUUACUCAGCUUUGAAUUCUGCUCAGCUUUAGUUCAGGUGGGGAUCCACUGAGCUCCACUGCCUGACUUCUACGGACUGUCCGCUCGGGUUGGAGGCUGCUUCUUCAAUCAUCUCAAGGAAGUAAUGACAUAGGGAUUUUCUUCCAUAUGUGAUCGGCAGAUCACACCCGAUCACUCUCUGAACGCAAUGGUUAUGUGCCCAUGGAUUAGACCAUACUUCCGUGGGGAGAAAAAGAGAAAAUCAAGGUCCCCCACCAGGUCAUCUGCUCAGAUUUAGAAAACAGGUGUCUAGAGUGCAUUGACUUACAGCACAAGCUACCCUGCUUCUCCAGUAUGUACAAAUUAGGUAACUUGGGAACUUAAAAAUUGCAGUGCCAGAGCACGAUGCCUGAACGUUUAUGGUAGAGUUAUGGCUCUUCAGAAAUCAAGAAGGAGUUAGGAAAUCAGAAGCCAAGAGCUUCUCUCUGUUCUCCUUUGUAGAUGACCAUGUUAUAGGAGGGAAGGGAAUGAGAGGGAGGCUUGGAAAUCUUUACAAAAACAUUCUCCCUCUGAGUCACGUCUAGAAAAAAUUAGAAGGCCACAAUAAUUGGGUUGUCGUGUGUGAGUUUUUUCCCCCCUUAUUCAGGAAUGAUAUCAAUAAUAAAUAGCUCACCAAAAGAACUAAGUGUUUGUGA